CCCGAUCCAAACUUUACUCCAGGUUCCUUCUCUUUUUUCCAGGUUCGUCACUUUUUAAUCUUCGACGAAGAGCGCAGAAAGAAAAGUGGCGGAGAAGUUUCCGCACAUUCCUCCACAGCGAGUUUGACCUGACUGGAAACAUGAAGAAAGCGCAGUCAGCCACGCUCUGUACUGUGGGCGGUCUGGUGUCGUCACAGACUGACACAUGAGGCAGGCACGCCCCUUCCUCGAGCUACCCCAAGCAGCUUUAGCCUGCACGGACACACCCGGAAGUGUGGUGGCUAAGUCUUCAAAAUAAAAGCUCGAUAUUUGCAGUGGGCCUGGGAUAAGGUACGGGACUGUGGUGAGGAAUACUCAUUCAGAAAUAUGGAUCAAAGUAGCACCAAAAAAAUGAACAGCAGAACAUCCUAAUUAUAAAGUAAUGCUUUUAUACUCUGUAUAUACUAGUGUUGUUUUCCAGUCCCACAUGCAAUGUAAUGUCUUUGUGUUACAUGUUGUUUACAAGUUGUUUUGCUUUAUUUCCACAUGUUGUCUCAUUCUGGAGUAAAUCUACAAUAAAAAGAGGUAAAGGGAGGUACAAGUGCAUAUUUAACUUGUUCAACUCAAUACUUAUAUUAGUUGUAAACAACUAAUACAGCUGAAAAAGUAUUGAAUUUCACCAAAAGACAGCAGUAUGUGAGGCUUCAGGACUGUGUGUCGGAUGUGGCAGUUUGCAGCACCGGGGCUCCGCAGGGUACUGUGCUCUCUCCUUUCCUCUUUACCCUCUACACA